rnacentral:rRNA from 1 species
UGGGGAAUAUUGCACAAUGGGCGAAAGCCUGAUGCAGCAACGCCGCGUGAGUGAUGAAGGCCUUCGGGUUGUAAAGCUCUGUCUUUUGGGACGGUAAUAACGGUACCAAAGGAGGAAGCCACGGCUAACUACGUGCCAGCAGCCGCGGUAAUACGUAGGUGGCAAGCGUUGUCCGGAUUUACUGGGCGUAAAGGAUGCGUAGGCGGAUUUUUAAGUGAGAUGUGAAAUACCCGGGCUUAACUUGGGUGCUGCAUUUCAAACUGGGAAUCUAGAGUGCGGGAGAGGAGAAUGGAAUUCCUAGUGUAGCGGUGAAAUGCGUAGAGAUUAGGAAGAACACCAGUGGCGAAGGCGAUUCUCUGGACCGUAACUGACGCUGAGGCAUGAAAGCGUGGGUAGCAAACAGGAUUAGAUACCCUGGUAGUCCACGCCGUAAACGAUGAGUACUAGGUGUAGGAGGUAUCGACCCCUUCUGUGCCGCAGUUAACACAAUAAGUACUCCGCCUGGGAAGUACGAUC